rnacentral:lncRNA from 1 species
AUGGACACUGGGGCGCACGGGCACAGGGGCACAGGGAUACACAGGCACAGGGGCGCACGGGCACACAAGUACACCUGCACGCCCAGCACCCCACGCAGACACAGCCAGCGCCAGCUCCAGGAGCCCUGGCGCGGGGACCUGCUCUGGCCACCGGCUGCCACCACCUCUCCCUUGUCGGCGCUGCUGCUGCCGGGCAGGUUCACAUGUCACUUAGAAAGCAGGCACAGUGCCUGGGGGGCUGGGACCCUGGGCUCCUGGGACUCCAGCAGGUGUAGCGUUGUGAAAUUCAACCCAUUGAGGUUUUCCUGUCUUGGCCGGAUGGGAAUGGCACACACCUGACAACACAGAAGUGGUAGGGCCUCUAUUUUAGGGGGUCGGAGGGCUCCCUGGAAACCUCCUUUCCUGUCUGAUUCAUGCUCAUCCGCAGCGCAGGAGGCUUAGGAACCGUGAAUGACAUAUGAGCACAAGCAAGCAAGCCGGUCAAAGAGACUCAUACAUCACUGCUCCUGUGACAUCCAAUUAUUCACGCCAUUGAGGCUUGUGACUCUUCUCAGGGAACCAGGACGGCUACAGACAGAGGCAGCGUGUAGGGGUGCGAGUGGGGUUGAAAUAAAUGAAGAGGCUGACAGCAUCAAACCUCACCACCUUCAAGCUCUGAACCUGGGACUUGCCAUUGCAGGAACAUUCUGGAUCAGAUGGGUCUGCACACAAAGAGCGGGGCACUUGCUCGGAGGCUGUGGGUGAACCUUCCCCACUUUGUACUUCUUUAAGGAGGGGUGGGUGGGCAGAGUGGAAGGGGUGGGGGCUGAGGGGAAGAAGGGACAGCACUGACCUCCAAACAUCUGUCGUUUUCCUGCCGGGCCAGGACUCUUGGGAAUUCGCCUGACUCCCACUGAUGUCCGAGCUCCCCAUGGCUUCCUGUGUGUAAGCCGCACGGAGUUCUUGCCUCUGCACUUCUGCCAGAGUCAUUCUCAUUCCAUGACAAAUCCACAGCGAGGUGGGGAGGUGGGGAGGUACCAGCAGACGCACUUGCGCUCUGGGAGCUUGGCUGAGGUUUCCAGAGACAGGCAGAGAGGCCUCCUCACACUGCCUCUGCGUCCAAACCACUCUCACUUACUGUGGGAAGAUAAAUGGUGGGUGCUGUUCAGGCCUGGGGUGCCAGGGACAUCUCAACUGCCUGCAGACUCUCACUAUGACCAGAGGUGGGAGGGAUCUUGGAGGGGUGGCUGGUGGGCCCUGGGACGCGUCCGGUGCUUGCAUUCGGCCUGGAGGUAAGUGUGGGGGCAGGUUUAUACAUUGCGAAAAGUUACAAAAUCAGUCCUUCCCAAUUCUAUCCUGAACCUCUGCUCCCGUGUCUCAUCUUUGCAGUUAUGCCCUGUAGAGGGGCUGUAGCAAAAUCCCUUCUUAAAGCUGGGGAUGGAGGGAUACCUGUGCGAGGGCAAAUGAGGGGGAGCAGGUGAAGGGCAAAUAGGACCCUUCCAUUUCCAUCAUCUCUCACCCCAGCAGCCCAGGGUCCAGGCAAAGAAAAUCACCCUGAGCUUGGAACUGACCGGCUGCCUCCCCACUCCCCCAGCUGCCUGGAGAUCCCACUCAGCCUUGAGGGCCCAUUUCAAGGGUCACUGGCUCUGGGAAAGUUGACCUGACCUGCACUGAGGUGGAGGUGACCCAGCCCUCUUUCGUGGUGUUUCUCCCAGCAGCAAAACACACCUCCAGGCUCGCUGUCACUCAGAUUAGACAAUCCCUUUAUGUGUCCCUCUUGGACUCUGUUGGCUUCUUGUACUCCUUUGUGUCCCUGGCACUUAGCUCAGUGGGCACCCAGUGCCUGAUUUUUGUGUGAGGACCUUUGCAAACAAGGGUCAUGGGGGAAGGGGCACCCACUUAGAGCUUGAGAUCCCACAAAUGUCAUUCUCUGGUUACAUGACUCUGGGAGAGCCAGUGAACUUUUCAGAGCCUCACCUGUUAAGUGGAGAGAUGCCCAUCUGGGGAUAAUGAUGAAAGUGAAAUAGAAUAAUGUUAAGCACAACAAUAAAACACUACCAUUGAGUGCCAGCCUCAUGGCAGGCACUGUGACCAGUUGGAGAAAUCUAAUAUCAAAGAAGAGGCUGGCAUGGAUAGAGCUCAAGGAAUACACCUGCACCGGAGAGUCCCUGGCAGGUGCUUGGGACGGAGUACCAUGUUCAGUGUGUGCAACCUAAAGGCGUGGGGUCUGGAGGCCAAAGCUGACCCAGGAGACCCAUGAGAACUGACAGCGGAGAGGGGGUGGGGGGGGUAGGGGGAGGAAGCUCUAAGGACCACAGCAAGCCACUAAGAGAUGCCUCUUUGUCUCCUCCCAAUAGCUCAGGAAAGCACUUCCUUGGGAUUAAAGAAAGGACUGGAGACUUUUCCAUUUUAUAAUUAAAAGAGAUUAUAUGAUAUGUUUUUUUUAAUGUUUAUUUAUUUAUUUAUUUAUUUAUGAAAGUCACACAGAGAGAGAGAGAGAGAGGCAGAGACACAGGCAGAGGGAGAAGCAGGCUCCAUGCACCGGGAGCCCGACGUGGGAUUCGAUCCCGGGUCUCCAGGGUCGCGCCCUGGGCCAAAGGCAGGCGCCAAACCGCUGGGCCACCCAGGGAUCCCGAGAUUAUAUGAUAUUAAAGAAAUGCUUUCUGGAACCUCUAGAAAGGACUAGAGAUAGGUUAAUCUUGCAGCUAAAGGACAUUAAGAGAUAUUCCUGAAAGAGGCAACUGGAUGGUUCAGUUGGUUGAGCGUCAGACUCUUGGUUUUGGUUUUGGGUCGUGGUCUCAGGAUCAUGAUCUCAGUGUUGUGAGAUUAUGCCCCGCAUCAGCCUCUGUGCUCCGUGUGGAGCCUCUUGUCCCUCUCCUUCUGCUCCUCGUCUGUCUCUCAAGUAAGUAAAAGUAAGUAAAUAAAUAAAUAAAUCUUUAAAAAGAGAGAGAGAUUCCUGGGAAAUUUUGGCUUGAGGUUCUGAAACACGUAGCAAUGCCCUAAGCCUUUGCUGGUGGCAAAUUAAAAAACGUAUGUUAAGGGAUGCCUGGGUGGCUCAGUGGUUGGCUCUGGGGGUCAUCCCGGGAUCCGGGAUCCAGUCCGGCAUCCGGCUCCCUGUGAGGAUCCUGCUUCUCCCUCUGCCUAUGUCUUUGCCUCUCUCUGUGUCUCUCAUGAAUAAAUAAAUAAAAUCUUAAAAAACAAAACAUACGUUAAAAUAAAAUACUUUCUACAUCAGUCAAGCAUUGAUAGAGUCACAAGGAGAAUGAGAAAAGUAUUAAAAUAAAAUAUUUUAAAUAUAAUAUUUAAUAAUAAUACUAUUUAAUAAACUGAAAAACAUUACCUAGUUGGUGGUACUCAGGCUUUUCCUCUGGCCCUUAAAGAGAUGUCUAUGGGCCUCUAGCUUGGUUUAUGUUUGAAGAUGAUCCCUUGCAGCUGUACCCAGAGGAAGCUCAGGCUGCAAGGCACAGCGUUCCUGAAAGAGUUACCCACAGCCGUCUCUGAAGCAUGCUACCUUCGCAGCCUAGUCCUUCCCAGGGAAGAGGGGUAUCAAAUGAGGAGCCGUGCUCCUACAGAAGCUACGCCCGUGUUCCUGAUAGAUUUAUAGAUCUCAGAGAUUCAGUGCAUUUGCAAAAGCUCAGGAUGCUCUUAUUCCCAUCCUUGGGCUUGGAAGAGCCAGGCCUUUCCCAGUGGUCCUCAGGGUGAUGGGGUGGGGAAUGGGUCAGAGCCUCCUGGAGUGCUUGGUAGGAAAGUGCUUGCCUCUUCCCCACCCCAUUCUGAAUCUGGAGGGUGGAGGGGACUGGCCUUGGCCGAGGAGGGACUCACUCUCCAACUGCCCAAUGACUUCCCACCAUCCCCCCAAACCUGCU